AUUGAACGCUGGCGGCAGGCCUAACACAUGCAAGUCGAACGAGUGGCGGACGGGUGAGUAAUGUCUGGGAAACUGCCCGCUGGAGGGGGAUAACUACUGGAAACGGUGGCUAAUACCGCAUACCAUCGGAUGUGCCCAGAUGGGAUUAGCUAGUAGGUGGGGUAACGGCUCACCUAGGCGACGAUCCCUAGCUGGUCUGAGAGGAUGACCAGCCACACUGGAACUGAGACACGGCCCAGACUCCUACGGGAGGCAGCAGUGGGGAAUAUUGCACAAUGGGCGCAAGCCUGAUGCAGCCAUGCCGCGUGUAUGAAGAAGGCCUUCGGGUUGUAAAGGACUUUCAGCGAGGAGGCGUUACUCGCAGAAGAAGCACCGGCUAACUCCGUGCCAGCAGCCGCGGUAAUAC
rnacentral:rRNA from 1 species